AAGUCGUAACAAGGUUUCCGUAGGUGAACCUGCGGAAGGAUCAUUCACAAUAAGUGUUUAUGGCACUUUUAACAAUCCAUACCCACCUUGUGUGCAACGUUUGAAUUUGGAACCGCACGCGUUAAGCGUAAGGGGAGGAUUCUUAACAUCAACUUAACUUAACUAGUUUGUCUGAAUCAUCGUAUCAUGAAUUAACUUAAUUCGAAAAUACAA
rnacentral:misc_RNA from 1 species